AAACAGUGAUGCAGUUGAAUAUAUUGUAUAAAACCCACAACAUAUUAUUAUCCAACGCUUGUGAAGUGUACAAUGAAUCGACAACUAACUUACCUGCCGGUUUUCUGUGUCAGGAGACCGAAUAAAUCAAUGUUAGUAGUUGUCAAGGCCUAAAAACGGGUCACAGCAGGAAUGGAUGGCGCACAUGACUCAGUGGUGAAACAGAUUACCGACUUGUAAUGACACAUACAGGCAGGCUGGGUAAAAGCUGAAGAUCCACGGCAGAGUAUCUGAAGGUACAGACGCUGGAUAUUGAGGCUGGGUGCCUGGAGGGCUCGGACCAUGCUGCUCAUAAUAGAGAAAAAAAGGUACAUCGCUCCUGUGACUGUUCCCAUCCAAACCAUACAGAGGUCAUCAUCUCUGCUGAGUAACAAUAAAGGAAGAGAAAGAGGGAUAACAUGUGGAUACGAUCAGGACAGGAGAGACAUAAAGGAGAAUGCACUUCUUAUAUGCCUAUAUCUAAAAGGUACAUGCUCAGUUAUGAUGUUUCUCAAAGUGACCAUGAGGGAAAAUUACAGCAAGACUACCGUACAUUUGCCAGAAGAUCUGUCAUUCCCCUCCUUAAAUACAUGUUGUUUCCUGUUUACACAGGAAGUAACAAGAUUCCCUGUAGUCAAGUGUCCGCUGAAGUGUUCCAACCUGAAUGACAUUGAGCUCCUUCGACUGGCUGGUGCAAAGGGCUGACUAAAAGCUAAUCAGGCUGUAAUUCAAGAUUCGCCCAGCCACUUACAAUCAAUACUCGCACAAUCCCAAUUAAAGCUUGCCGGGUCAAUGGAGGGCCACCAAUUCCUUUACAAGUUAAAUGCAAUACUUAAAUCUAAAGCAAUCUCAGUGUGGCCUUCAAUGGUUUAAUGGCUCGUGCCAACAGGAGUGUCCAGUUAAAAGUGCAAGAAGGAUACAGCGUGGACAGGUUAUAGUGAUUAAUACUUCCUUACCCCACAAAUACGUGCACACUUUUUAAAUAUCAUAUUAAAUGCAGGAUCUUACUUGGAAAGUUAGCAUUUUUACGAGUGGAUGAAGUAUCUGAAUACUUUAUUCAGUACUACAUUUGCAUAGCUUUAGAUACUAGCUACUCUGAGGAUUCAAACAAAUGUUUA